CCUACGGGUGGCAGCAGUGGUGAAUAUUGCACAAUGGGGGAAACCCUGAUGCAGCGACGCCGCGUGAGUGAAGAGGUAAUUCGUGAUGUAAAGCUCUAUCAGCAGGGAAGAAAAUGACGGUACCUGAGUAAGAAGCCCCGGCUAACUACGUGCCAGCAGCCGCGGUAAUACGUAUGGGGCAAGCGUUAUCCGGAUUUACGGGGGGUAAAGGGAGCGUAGACGGCAGUGCAAGUAUGGGGUUAAAGGCGGGGGCUCAACCAUUCAGACUAUUAGCUAAACUGGUAAGCUCGAGACCGUUAGGGGUAACUGGAAUUUCUAGUGUAGGAGUGAAAUCCGUAGAUAUUAGAAGGAACACCAAUAGCGUAGGCAGGUUGCUGGGACGGUUCUGACACUGAGGCACGAAAGCGUAGGGAGCAAACAGGAUUAGAUACCCGGGUAGUC
rnacentral:rRNA from 1 species